rnacentral:rRNA from 1 species
AGUGGCAAACGGGUGAGUAUAAUGUGGGUAUCUGCCUUUUGGUUUGGAAUAGCAUGAGGAAACUUGUGCUAAUACCGAAUAAGCCCUCACAGGGAAAGUUUUAACGCCGAAAGAUGAGCCCGCACUUGAUUAGUUUGUUGGUGAGGUAAUGGCUCACCAAGACAAUUAUCAAUAGCUGGUCUGAGAGGACGAUCAGCCACAUUGGGACUGAGACACGGCCCAGACUCCUACGGGAGGCAGCAGUAAGGAAUCUUGCACAAUGGGGGAAACCCUGAUGCAGCGAUGCCGCGUGAGUGAAGAAGGCCCUUGGGUUGUAAAACUCUUUCGUCGGGGAAGAAAAUGACUGUACCCGAACAAGAAGGUCCGGCUAACUUCGUGCCAGCAGCCGCGGUAAUACGAAGGGACCUAGCGUAGUUCGGAAUUACUGGGCUUAAAGAGCUCGUAGGUGGUUAAAAUAGUUGAUGGUGAAAUCCCAAGGCUCAACCUUGGAACUGCCAUCAAAACUUUUUAGCUAGAGUGUGAUAGAGGAAAGUGGAAUUUCUAGUGUAGAGGUGAAAUUCGUAGAUAUUAGAAAGAACACCAAAUGCGAAGGCAACUUUCUGGGUCACUACUGACACUGAGGAGCGAAAGCAUGGGUAGCGAAGAGGAUUAGAUACCCUCGUAGUCCAUGCCGUAAACGAUGUGUGCUAGACGUUGGAAAUAUAUUUUUCAGUGUCGCAGCGAAAGCAUUAAGCACACCG